rnacentral:rRNA from 1 species
AGCGAACGCUGGCGGCAGGCCUAAUACAUGCAAGUCGAGCGGCCGUAGCAAUACGGCAGCGGCAGACGGGAGAGUAACACGUGGGAACGUACCCUUCAGUUCGGGAACAAACCCAGGGAAACUUGGGCUAAUACCGGAUACGUUCGUAAGGAGAAAGAUUUAUCGCUGAAGGAGUCGGCCCGCGUCUGAUUAGCUAGUUGGUGACGGUAACGGCUCACCAAGGCGACGAUCAGUAGCGGUCUGAGAGGAUGAUCAGCCUCACUGGGACUGAGACACGGCCCAGGCUCCUACGGGAGGCA